UUACGGCCAUAUCACUUUGAAACACCGAUUUUCGUCUGAUCACCGAAGGUAAAACAACGUCGAGUCUGGUCUGUAGCUAGAUGGGUGACCACUUGAGACUACCAGGUGCUGUAAG